GAGUUUGAUCCUGGCUCAGAUUGAACGCUGGCGGCAUGCUUUACACAUGCAAGUCGAACGGCAGCACGGGAGCUUGCUCCUGGUGGCGAGUGGCGAACGGGUGAGUAAUGCAUCGGAACGUAUCCUGGAGUGGGGGGAUAACGUAGCGAAAGUUACGCUAAUACCGCAUAUUCUGUGAGCAGGAAAGCGGGGGACCUUCGGGCCUCGCGCUCUUGGAGCGGCCGAUGUCGGAUUAGCUAGUUGGUGAGGUAAAGGCUCACCAAGGCGACGAUCCGUAGCAGGCCUGAGAGGAUGAUCUGCCACACUGGAACUGAGACACGGGUCCAGACUCCUACGGGAGGCAGCAGU
rnacentral:rRNA from 1 species